AUGUCGCCCUCGAGGCCGCGCCCCGCCGCCUCCAGCUCCGGCGACCUGCCCGCGGACGCGCUGUACGAGGUCCUCCUCCGCAUCCCGGCCAAGGAGCUCUGCCGCCUCCGCGCCGUCUGCCCCGCCUGGCGCGCCCUCACCUCCGACCCGCUCUUCGCCGCGGCGCACAAGUCCCGCCACCACACGGCGCCCCCGCUCCUCGCCAUGGGCUACCGCGACGACAGUGGGGUCAGCGGCGUUGCGAUUUCGGAUCUGUCGGGCAACGUCGUGAAGCGGACUCCAGGCAACGAGUAUGAACUUGUUUUCGUGAAUGAGUCGGGUGAUGCCAUUGGCCGGUUCACAAGCAAGGACGAUAGCAUCUGUGUUGUGCGCACGCGGCUGGACCUCGUCUGUUUCAACAGGAAUGCCCUCUGUGGGUUCUUCUGGGUGCUGAACCCAGCCACUGGAGCUACCAUCGACUUGCCAAUGGGCUUCUCUGAGGAAAUUGCGCAUGAGCUAGAGGUGAAGGGAAUAAAGGAAUGUAGCUGCCGACGUGAGUUGUGUGCUUUUGGGCAGGUCUCCUCUAGCAGGGAGUACAAGGUGCUCCGCAUCUCUAGAGUUGAUGACCGGAAGGUAUGUGAGGUUAUCACCUUUGAUGACACCAACCAUGGAUGCUGGAGGAGAAAGCAGGACCCUCCGUCCCAUAUCUGUACCAGUCACAGGAUGAGAUAUGCGGUCGUCGAUGGGGUGGUGUACUUCCUGAUGGAAUUUUGCUACUCUAAUUAUGAAACUGGAGUUAUUACCAUUGAACCUGGUAGCGUAGCUUCUUUCAACCUCGACACAGAGGAGUGGAUGGGUGUUCUACGUGGUCCAGAACAGCUGGAGAGGUUUUUGCAAGAGAACGGGGGAUACACUUACUCGGGACUUGAACACGAGUUAUCAUUGACUGAGUUGAAAGGCUGCUUAGUUGUGGUUCAUAAUAUUUACAAAGUAUCUAUGGACUUGUGGUUUUUGACAGACUUUGAGAACGGUAUUUGGGUCAAGAAAUACAGCUUGCCUUCACAUGUUGCUAGGCUUUUUUGGUAUCCUUUUCUCAUGUUAGAUGAUGGGAGAAUUUUCUUCAGUGGGAUGGAUUGUCUGGAAGGUAUAUUAAGUGGUGGAGAGAAAGGAGAGGGAUUUCUGCAAUGUUAUGAUCCAAGGAAUGGCACAUGUACUGAUGAACUAAAACUGAGAGAUCCCCGAUCAAUCGGCAUUUACACAGGAAGCCUGCUGAGUUUAUAG
rnacentral:rRNA from 1 species